rnacentral:rRNA from 1 species
UACGUAGGCAGCGAGCGUUGUUCGGAGUUACUGGGCGUAAAGGGCGCGUAGGCGGCGUGACAAGUCACUUGUGAAAUCUCCGGGCUUAACCCGGAGCGGUCAAGUGAUACUGUCGUGCUAGAGUGCGGAAGGGGCUACUGGAAUUCUCGGUGUAGCGGUGAAAUGCGUAGAUAUCAAGAGGAACACCUGCGGCGAAGGCGGGUAGCUGGGCCGACACUGACGCUGAUGCGCGAAAGCCAGGGGAGCGAACGGG